rnacentral:piRNA from 1 species
UUGAAUACACCUACCAAACGUCAUAGCU